rnacentral:rRNA from 1 species
CUUAAAUUGAAGAGUUUGAUCAUGGCUCAGAUUGAACGCUGGCGGCAGGCCUAACACAUGCAAGUCGAGCGGAAACGAGUUAUCUGAACCUUCGGGGAACGAUAACGGCGUCGAGCGGCGGACGGGUGAGUAAUGCCUAGGAAAUUGCCCUGAUGUGGGGGAUAACCAUUGGA